CGCACAUUGCGCCCCUUGGUAUUCCGGGGGGCAUGCCCGUUCGAGCGUCAUUUCACCAAUCAAGCCUGGCUUGGUGUUGGACCCGGGGGCGACCCGGGUCUCAAAAUCGUCGGCUGGAAAGCUCUGAUCUCAGCGUCGUGGUAAAUCAAAUUCGCUGGCGAGACGAGGGUUCCACGCCGUUAAACUCCUUUCAAGGUUGACCUCGGAUCGGGUAGGAAUACCCGCUGAACUUAA
rnacentral:misc_RNA from 1 species